rnacentral:pre_miRNA from 1 species
UUUAUGGUCCCUCCAUCCGGAAUUAUGUGUCGCAGAAAUGGAUGUAUAUAGAUGUAUUUUUAGUUCUAGAUACAUCCAUUUAUAUUCAUUUAUGCAAUAAGUAAGUUGGGAUGGAGGGAGUAUGCA